CCUACGGGAGGCAGCAGUGGGGAAUAUUGCACAAUGGGGGGAACCCUGAUGCAGCAACGCCGCGUGGGUGAAGAAGUACUUCGGUAUGUAAAGCCCUGUCAGCAGGGAAGAAAAUGACGGUACCUGACCAAGAAGCCCCGGCUAACUACGUGCCAGCAGCCGCGGUGAUACGUAGGGGGCAAGCGUUAUCCGGAUUUACUGGGUGUAAAGGGAGCGUAGACGGCAAGGCAAGGCUGGAGUGAAAGCCCGUGGCUCAACCACGGGACUGCUUUGGACACUGUGUUGCUGGAGUGCAGGAGGGGUAAGCGGAAUGCCUGGUGUAGCGGUGAAAUGCGUAGAUAUUAGGAGGAACACCGGUGGCGAAGGCGGCUUACUGGACUGUAACUGACGUUGAGGCUCGAAGGCGUGGGGAGCAAACAGGAUUAGAUACCCGGGUAGUC
rnacentral:rRNA from 1 species